AUGGCCGAGACGGUGGACUUCGCGAGCGGCGACGGGGAGGCCUGGCGUGCGGCGCUGGACGCGUACGACCGCCGGCUCGCGGCGCUGGACAAGCCCGACCUCCUGGACGCCGACUCCUUCUACCGCCACGACCUCCCCCUCCUGCUGCACCGCCGCGACCCGGACCCCUACCUCGCCAAGCCCGAGCUGGUGCAGCUCAUGCAGUGGAAGCUCUCGCGCGGAAAGUGGAGGCCGAGGCUGAUGGAUUUCGUCAAAAGCUUGGAUGACAAAGUUGUAGAGUCCGCGUCACGCAAGGCAUUUGCAGCGCUGCCCGACCUCAGCAAGGCCAUCACCGAGCUCACCGUGCUCAAGGGUGUUGGCCCUGCCACUGCAUCCGCGGUGCUCGCUGCCUAUGCACCCGAUGUUGCACCCUUCAUGUCAGACGAAGCAAUGGUCGCAGCCUUGGGCAAUGUGAAGGAAUACACUCUGAAGCAGUACCUUGCGUUUGCGGAGAAGUUGCAGGCUAAAGCGGAGGAGUUGAGCGUAGGAGGAGAAAGCUUGACACCUUCGGAUGUUGAGAGAGCUUUGUGGAGCUCGGCAAUCGCCUCCAAGCCACCGAAGGCACCAGCAGGUGGGAAGAGAAAACGGUGA
rnacentral:rRNA from 1 species